rnacentral:rRNA from 1 species
CACGUAGGGGGCAAGUGGUGUUCGGGAUUACUGGGCGUAAAAGGCAUGUCGGCGGUUUUGUAAGCCUGGCGUGCAAUUCUGCAGCUUAACUGUAGGACUGCGCUGGGAACUGCGAGACUGGAGUCACGGAGAGGGAGCCAGAAUUCCAGGUGUAGGGGUGAAAUCUGUAGAUAUCUGGAAGAAUACCAAUGGCGAAGGCACGUUUCUGGCCGAUGACUGACGCUGAGGUGCGAAAGCGUGGGUAGCAAAGAGG